CGGGCACCAUUCAGAUUUGGUUAUAUCUGGCGAAGGCAUCCAUGAAGCUGAGCAGUCGAUGACCGGACGUCGCAUCCACCAGUUGGUCAAUCUUCGACAGUGAGAAGCUGUCCUUCGAGUAGGACCGAUUCAAAUCGGUGGAGUCGAUAUAGAUCUUACACUUCUCGUUGGCUUUCUUCAUCAUGAUAACAUUUGCGAGCCUGUUGGGAUAGAUGG
rnacentral:lncRNA from 1 species